rnacentral:rRNA from 1 species
CAGUAGCCGCGGUAAAACGAAGGGUGCAAGCGUUAAUCGGAAUUACUGGGCGUAAAGCGCGCGUAGGUGGUUUGGUAAGAUGGAUGUGAAAUCCCCGGGCUCAACCUGGGAACUGCAUCCAUAACUGCCUGACUAGAGUACGGUAGAGGGUGGUGGAAUUUCCUGUGUAGCGGUGAAAUGCGUAGAUAUAGGAAGGAACACCAGUGGCGAAGGCGACCACCUGGACUGAUACUGACACUGAGGUGCGAAAGCGUGGGGAGCAAACAGGAUUAGAUACCCCCGUAGUCCCUGUCUCUUAUAC